rnacentral:misc_RNA from 1 species
AAGUCGUAACAAGGUUUCCGUAGGUGAACCUGCGGAAGGAUCAUUAACACGUAUCCAACGUUAAACAACCCUGUGAACUUUCAGCCUGCUCUUGUAACCAUGAGGAACAGCAAUCCCGGUAAAUCAUUGCAAACAGUUUUGAUUCGGGACCUCUUCCCCAAGCAGUUAGUGAAUGACAGUGUCACUGAUUGUGUAAGGAUAACGCCUCACGGUUGCCAGAGGUCGAUCACCGACCGGCAGACAUGUCACAGGGUCACCACGCCCCUUAAUCACCCCAAUUUGAAAUUGCUCCUACCUGGUGGUAACGCACUGGGUCAAAAAAACCGAACAACUGUUAACAAUGGAUAUCUUGGUUCUC